rnacentral:lncRNA from 1 species
CCAUUCUCUGUGCCCGCAGCAAUGAUAUUCCCUCUCAGAAUCUUCCAGGACUUGUCUUUUGAGGCUCAGGAUUAUCUAUCAGCUUUACAUCAUCAAUCUUUUUGAUAAUUAUACAUUUAGGCUGCUAGAGAACCAUUUAGUCAGAUGCUAGUAAAGUAUCCAAAGCCUGGCUAAAAAAGCAGGAAGAACUAAAAUCCAAAGAAAACCCAGCUCAACAGUCACACCUGAAAUGUGACUCCCCCGACUCUGCCUACGAGGAUGGUCCAGAUGUGACGCAUCUUGUCUCGUGAUGUUAUCACCACGGGCCAAUGCAGGUAUGUCCUCAGUCGUGAACCAACAACUGAUCUCGCCCCUUUCUGGAAACUUCUAACUUCUUCUGUCCUUGCACAAGAGAGAAUGCUGCCA